rnacentral:misc_RNA from 1 species
AGUUUAGCCAAACCGAAAUCGCUUAAAUGUGCAACCAUGUCCUCAUCGAGAAGAACAUUAUUGGGCUUCAAGUCACAAUGAAUUAUUGGAAUUUCGCAAAGGUCAUGAACAUAAUGCAACGCAGAUGCCACAUCAAUUGCAAUAUUCAAUCUUUGAAGAAAAUCCAAGUUUCUUGACGGAUAAUUGUUGUGGAUGUCUUGAUACAACCACUUCUCCAAGCUUCCUUUACCCAUGAAUUCAUAAACUAGAGCUUUGAACUCAUUCUGUUUGUAAUCAAUGCUGGAGCAAUACGUAAGCAGCUUAACCAGAUUUCGAUGCCUCACUGUGCGUAACACCUUGCACUCGGCCAUGAAGCUUUUUGAAGCGCCCCUUGUUCCAAGUUUGAGGACCUUAACAGCCACAGCUCUUUCCAUUUGAUUGAGAAAUCCUUUAUACACAGAACCAAAGCUGCCAGAUCCGAUUAAGUUGUCGGCAGAAAAUCCACUUGUUGCAUCAAAAAGAUCCCUAUAAGAUACCUUUACAAGGCGAUCUGUUUCUUUAGGUGUGGCGGAUGAGCUCUUUUUUGAUACUUUCUUUCGAUACAUAAGCAUGAUGGCUAACAUCAACAGCACAAAGAGAAUCACACAAAGAAUUAUGAUUGCUAACUUAAUAGCAAUGGACUUCCCUUUCUUCAUUGCUUUGGUAGGGCAUUUUGGUUGAUGGAGUUCUGGCACA